rnacentral:SRP_RNA from 1 species
GCUGGGUGUGCUGGCACACACCUGUAAUCCCAGCUACUUGGGAGGCUGAGGCAGAGGAAUCACUUGAGCCCGGGAGGCAGAGGUUGCAGUGAGCCAAGAUCGCGCCACUGCACUCCAGCCUGGACGAUAGAGUGAGAAUCUGUCUCAA